AUUGUCAAAAUCGAGAAUGACAACCCACGCACGUGUACGGGGCAACUGCGUGAUGCACGUGCAAACUAUGGAAUGUGUUUCCGUGUGUUGAUAAACAGACCAGAACGUUCUUUACUAGGGUGUCUGUGGUCAAACAUAUGUUCGGUCUACUAGUUGAUAUUAACAUUAAUAUUUCAGGUUCCCCUACUUUUUUUGAAGAGUAUAUAUAUAUUAAGUCAUUUACUGUGUUCGUUUUUGUUUGUUUUUUUACAGCUAACGCCAAAUUCUGGGGUACAUAUCGCUGCGGCCCUACAUGUGCAAUUUAUUGUCCGUGCGGCCGUGUGAUGAAGAACGGUUGUCCCACCUGCACCUGCAAACCGUGUACAGGUGCAGACCACGUGACAAAAUGAUGACGUCGAAAGAAUAACGGCCGAGAUAAAAAAAAGAAAUAAAAUAGAAAUAGAAAUUA